rnacentral:rRNA from 1 species
UACGGAGGAUGCAAGCGUUAUCCGGAAUGAUUGGGCGUAAAGCGUCCGCAGGUGGCAAUGUAAGUCUGCUGUCAAAGCGUCUGGCUCAACCAGAUACAGGCAGUGGAAACUACAUAGCUAGAGUAAGGUAGGGGUAGAGGGAAUUCCUGGUGUAGCGGUGAAAUGCGUAGAGAUCAGGAAGAACACCAGUGGCGAAGGCGGCACUCUGGGCCAGUAUUGACGCUGAGGAGCGAAAGCGUGGGGAGCGAACAGG